GGGGUGGGCUGUGGGUAGGGGUGAGGUGUGGGUAGGGGUGGGCUGUGGGUAGGGGUGGGCUGUGGGUAGGGGUGAGGUGUGGGUAGGGGUGGGCUGUGGGUAGGGACGGGCAGGACAUCACAGUGGGAGAGUCCUUCACUUUUCUUUCCCUGACCCCUGAGGCAAAUGAAUUUUCUUGCCUCUAUCAUAAGGUAUCAUGCCGCCGGGCGGUGGUGGCGCAUGCCUGUAAUCCCAGCUCUCUGGGAGGCAGAGGCAGGCGGAUUUCUAAGUUCGAGGCCAGCCUGGUCUACAGAGUGAGUUCCAGGACAGCCAGGGCUACACAGAGAAUCCCGGUCUCGAAAAACAAACAAACAAACAAAAACAAAACAAAACAAAAAAAAACCCAAAAA